CUAACCUACUCACUAUGUAUCUGGGACAUUCAAAUUCAAAAUUCAAAAUUCAAAAUUCAAAAUCAACUGAAACAAUUAAAGGCACUGAUUGGCUCCGCCGCUAGGUAUUACAUACCCUUAAAACCCAACAUACUGUGGUGGGUGAAACUCAAACCUCACACAGGGUUUUUGAAACUCAAACUCACACCAACACAUUCUCCUCUCUAUCUCUCCUAAAUCAAGAAGUACAUGAUGUUUAAUGGCUUGAUUUUGAAGAUGUUUAGGUGAUUCUAAGGUUUGAUUUAAAAGUUCAAGUGAUUCCAGAUUCGUAUGAAUUCAUCCGGGACCCUUCAACACUUUCAAAGACAAGCAGGUUUCUGGCUAGAUCACAUUCAUGGAGGUAUAAUAUGCCACUACAAUAGAGUCGACUUUUGAAGACAAGAAAUAUAGUUAAAUGAGGUAGAUUCAAAAUUCAGAUGGAGUCUAAUAGGGAUAAGAUAACCAUCUUAAACGUGUAGUGACAAGUUGGGUCUAGGCCUUGGACUGGGUAGCUUUGUUGCUGGAGUGAUGAUAUCAACAACUGAUCUUGCUCACUAUAUUCUUGAACAACUGAACAAAUCGUUUCUUCUCUCCGCAUGAUUCCUCCCGUCAUCUUCAACAUAUGUUCAUGUCGUCUGCUGGAAGCUGUGGAGGUUGAUGUUAAUACAAGAAGUCGGGCCUAUAUUAACUUUUGACAACCUCAUCAAAUCUACGCUAGCAUUCUUCUAUUGGGUUUGGGCACCCGUUUGUGCAAACAUGAGAACCAGGGGUGUUCAAACUGUUGUUGUAACUUCAAACUUAAUGUUUAAAGUAGUUAUCUUAUUGGAGAAAUGGAUGGCGGAUUUCAUGGGAUUGGCGCUGGAAGAAUCUAUGAGUUUUUUCAACAGUGGUUUAUUUCUGGAAUCAUCAGUUUGUGUUCCUUCAUUAUUCGUUUCGCUACUGAACACGCUAGGUCGGUUUCUUGUUCGUUGAGGCGGCUUGGUGGUCAUGUGCUUUCCUUGCCUGAGGUAUUGCACUUGUAUCGAGAAUAAAAUGCCUCAACUGUCUCUUAUGUAAAUGAGCCUUGAGAGAUCAUUUAACCAGCUGAAGGGAAGUAUCUCCCAAAUCAGCCCAUUAGUUAACAAAAGGGGCAAAAUUGUCACCUUUAGGUACUUAUGGCUAAUAUAUUUAUUUAUGUGUUAUGGUUAUCACAUUCAAUAGAAAGUGGAGUUGUGGAA